UGUCGAUAAUAAAGAAAUCCGAAGACCAAAAUACUCGAUCGGAGAACCUCACAACGAACAACUCCAAACUCGAUAUUGAGUUCAACCAGACAGAUCGGAAAACCAUGACAAAACCUCACGAUGAAUAACCCACAAAUCCGAAUAAACUUCAAAAACAACCCAAGAUCCCAGAUUCGAAACCCCAAACCAACGAUUUCCAACUAACCUUGCACGAACCAAACCAACUCGGAUGGAUUUAAAACCUUAAGAAAUAAGAAAUAUCAAACGAACCGAGACUGAAAUUAUGAUAAAUCGAGAAGUCCCAUACGCGAAAUUUUGUCGGAAUCAGUGGAAAAUGGACUGGGUGUCGUUGCCGGUCACUGGCGUCACCGUUUUCGGUGCCUGCUACCGUCGCUGGAGAGUGGUCGGGUCGGCGGCUGGAUGCUGACUGGUGCCGGCUGCCGUCGUCGGAGAGAGGCGUAGACCGAGAGAGAGAAAAAGCUACGGAGAUGGUGGGCUGGCCGUCGUCGUGGUGGUUGAGACGACGGAGGCGUCUCGCCGGAGGGAGAGAGGAGGAGAUCGGGAGUUGGAGCGGUGUUGGCGCCGACGCUGUCGUCGCGGAUGGGGAUGGCGGCGCCGCGGCUUUUUUUU
rnacentral:lncRNA from 1 species